rnacentral:rRNA from 1 species
UACAGAGGGGGCGAGCGUUGUUCGGAAUUACUGGGCGUAAAGGGCGCGUAGGCGGCCUCUUAAGUCGAACGUGAAAUCCCCGGGCUCAACCCGGGAACUGCGUCCGAUACUGGGGGGCUUGAAUCCGGGAGAGGGAUGUGGAAUUCCAGGUGUAGCGGUGAAAUGCGUAGAUAUCUGGAGGAACACCGGUGGCGAAGGCGGCAUCCUGGACCGGUAUUGACGCUGAGGCGCGAAAGCGUGGGGAGCAAACAGG